GCAGGAAUAGACGCAAGGGCUGGAGCUGGGAGGGAUGGGGGGGGGGGGAGGGAGAAUCCCUCCAGCGGCCCAGCCCCGCCUCCCGAGAUGUGGGCAGGCCAUCCUCCUGCCCUAACACUUUCCACCACCUGCCUUCCGCCUUGCAGGGAGGCUACCACCGGCUCCGGGAAGCCCCUCCCGCAGACCUGCCGCUCCCCUGCCUCAGAAGGAGCUGCUCGACCGACAGAUACCAAGGUCGUCUUUGCGCCGGCGUGCGACCCAUUUAAUACGUUCUUUCUUCGAUGGAAGGCUGCUACGAGAUCCAUCGCGGGAAGCCCAUACCCCCACGUGGCGUAUCUCCUGAACCGCGCUUCUUUUUACCUUCUGCCCCGGUAAGACGUUUACCUAACCUCAUCAUCGUUCGUGGUACGAGACGGACGUCGCCACGUAGUGAAAAGCCGAGGCUUCACGGCCCCGGAAGUUCCUGGAGCCUUCCGGUCACUUACAAUUCAAACAAAAGAAACACCAAAAGCUAGCUCGUGUGUCAUGGGCUCCUUUUCUCUGUCUCGGCACCAGAAGGUUCUAGAAACCGUUUGCAGACUCUCCUCAGGGACUCAGAAGGUCAGGGGGAGAGAAGGGUGGAGAGAAAUUGGGUUGCAUGUAUCGGUAGUGAGAGUGGAGAUCCUGAGGAAUAUAUCUGCUGCUUCUGCCGGUCUCUCUCCCUCAGUCAUCAAGCGCCGUCGCCGAGCACUUCUCAAACGGUCCCGUACGCACACGCACACACACAAACACACACGCCAGGAGAGUCUUGUUAACAAGCCCGUGGUCCUGCGUUUCCAGCAUGCUCACGGGACCCUAAUGCUGCUGAUCUGGAGACCUCGCUUUGAGCAGCGAGACUGCGGGUGGCGUUCUGAACCUGACGGUCCGUGGGCUAUUGUUCCGUAUAGGAUGCCGGGACGGCUGGGUAGCCAUCCAGAAAAAGUAACGUCAGACUUACACUCCCAAUUCCUGUACUAGGACGGAUACGAAGAAGUGUGAUCUGUGCUCGAGGUGGAAAUGCAAAAUGAUGAACAAUUGAAAGGACAACGGGCAAAGAAUAGAGACACUCAGUAACUUGACCAAACUCACAAGAAGCCGGUGCGUGAACCGGAAUGAGAAACCAUUAAUUUGCAAUGGGAAAUACUCCUUUGCGAUGACAGAACACGCAUGUCUGCCAUCCCAGGCACCUCGCUGCACAGAUCAAGAUGCCCGUGACGUUCCGUGAGGGAGCCCGGUGGGGCGCCUGGCUGGCUCCUUCAGAAGAGCAUGGGACUCUCGAUGAUCUCAGGGUCGUGAGUUCAGACCCCAUGUUGGGCAUGGAGCCUACUUUAAAUAAAUAAAUAAAUAAAUAAAUAAAUAAAUAAAUA
rnacentral:lncRNA from 1 species